rnacentral:rRNA from 1 species
UACGAAGGGGGCUAGCGUUACUCGGAUUGACUGGGCGUAAAGGGCGCGUAGGCGGCUUGUACAGUCAGACGUGAAAUUCCUGGGCUCAACCUGGGGGCUGCGUUUGAUACGUGCGGGCUUGAGUUCGGAAGGGGGUCGUGGAAUUCCCAGUGUAGAGGUGAAAUUCGUAGAUAUUGGGAAGAACACCGGUGGCGAAGGCGGCGACCUGGUCCGAUACUGACGCUGAGGCGCGAAAGCGUGGGGAGCAAACAGG